CCUGGCUUAGAACGAACGCUGGCGGCAGGCUUAACACAUGCAAGUUGAACGGGAGUGAAGAGGUAGCUUGCUAUUUUUUAUGAGAGUAGCGCACUGGUGAGUAACACGUGGGAACGUACCUUUUAGUGGGGGACAACAGUUGGAAACGACUGCUAAUACCGCAUAAUCCCUGAGGGGGAAAGGAGUAAUUCGCUGAAAGAGCGGCCCGCGGAAGAUUAGGCAGUUGGUGGGGUAAAGGCCUACCAAACCUACGAUCUAUAGCUGAUCUGAGAGGAUGAACAGCCACAUUGGAACUGAGACACGGUCCAGACUCCUACGGGAGGCAGCAGUGAGGAAUAUUGGGCAAUGGAGGAAACUCUGACCCAGCCAUGCCGCCGUGAGUGAGAAGGUCUUCGGAUUGUAAAGCUCUUUUAUGCAGGAAGAUGAUGACAGUACUGCAAGAAAAAGCACCGGCAAACUUCGUGCCAGCAGCUGC
rnacentral:rRNA from 1 species